UUAUAUCUACAUUGCGUGGAGGUGUUAUUCAUCCUAUAUUAUCACUUCAAGCUAUUACAAUAAGCUUUAAUACUACAACAGUUCUUAACAACAUUAUGUUUGCUUUAAAUGAAUGUUCGAAUCAUACUGUUAGUAUCCAAGAUGGCUGAUAAGUUACCCUUCUCAGACACCACCUUGCAGGACAUUGCUUUUAUAAACCCUAGGAUAAAAACCAAGAUAGUAUCUGACUCUGUUACAAAGCUGGCUAACAGGUUUCCGCAGGCCAUAGGGUGUGAAAAUACAUCAGAACUUCUAGACAAGUUUACAGAGUACCAGCUGUUAUCUCCUGAUGAUCUUCCCACCUUUGACCUGGACAUAUCAUCAUUCUAGGGAGAAAUGGCAGAAGUUGAUGACAUCUUCAAUGAUAAAAAACGUUUUAACACACUCUCAAAGCUUGCUAAAGCAUUUUUUGUUUUACCAAACAGUAAUGCUGAUUGUGAAAGAGCCUUUUCGAUAAUCAAAAAGAUAUAUACAGAAUUUAGAUCUGAGCUGAACAAUGACACAUUAUGUGCACUGUUGUCAUGCAAAUUUAAUGAAACUGACAGUUGCUAUGAGUAUCAGCCCAGUUGUGAUGUGCUGAAAGCAGCAAAACAGGCCACCAUUGAAUAUAAAAAAAGUUUACAGUAGAA